UACGGAGGGUGCGAGCGUUGUCCGGAAUCAUUGGGCGUAAAGGGCGCGUAGGUGGCCCGGUCAGUCUUUGGUGAAAGCGCGGGGCUCAACCCUGCGUCGGCCAGGGAUACUGCCGCGGCUCGAGCACUGUAGAGGCAGGCGGAAUUCCGGGUGUAGCGGUGGAAUGCGCAGAUAUCAGGAAGAACACCCGUGGCGAAGGCGGCUCUCUGGGACGGUACUGACGCUGAGACGCGAAAGCGUGGGGAGCGAACAGG
rnacentral:rRNA from 1 species